AAUAGAUACCCGGGUAGUCCACGCCGUAAACGAUGGAUGCUAGCUGUUAUGAGUAUCGACCCUUGUAGUAGCGAAGCUAACGCGUUAAGCAUCCCGCCUGUGGAGUACGAGCGCAAGCUUAAAACAUAAAGGAAUUGACGGGGACCCGCACAAGCGGUGGAGCGUGUUGUUUAAUUCGAUGAUAAGCGAAGAACCUUACCAAGGCUUGACAUCCCUGGAAGGUCUCCGAAAGGAGACUGUGCCUUCGGGAAUCAGGUGACAGGUGAUGCAUGGCCGUCGUCAGCUCGUGUCGUGAGAUGUUUGGUUAAGUCCAUCAACGAGCGCAACCCUUAUAAAUAGUUGAAUUUUUCUAUUUAGACUGCCUCGGUAACGGGGAGGAAGGAGGGGAUGACGUCAGGUCAGUAUUUCCCUUAUGCCUUGGGCUACAAACACGCUACAAUGGCCGGUACAAAGGGCAGCCAACCCGCGAGGGGGAGCAAAUCCCAUCAAAACCGGUCCCAGUUCGGAUAGCAGGCUGAAACUCGCCUGCUUGAAGUCGGAAUCGCU
rnacentral:rRNA from 1 species